UGGGGAAUAUUGGACAAUGGGCGAAAGCCUGAUCCAGCCAUGCCGCGUGUGUGAAGAAGGUCUUCGGAUUGUAAAGCACUUUAAGUUGAGAGGAAGGGCAUUAACCUAAUACGUUAGUGUUUUGACGUUACCGACAGAAUAAGCACCGGCUAACUCUGUGCCAGCAGCCGCGGUAAUACAGAGGGUGCAAGCGUUAAUCGGAAUUACUGGGCGUAAAGCGCGCGUAGGUGGUUUGUUAAGUUGGAUGUGAAAUCCCCGGGCUCAACCUGGGAACUGCAUUCAAAACUGACUGACUAGAGUAUGGUAGAGGGUGGUGGAAUUUCCUGUGUAGCGGUGAAAUGCGUAGAUAUAGGAAGGAACACCAGUGGCGAAGGCGACCACCUGGACUAAUACUGACACUGAGGUGCGAAAGCGUGGGGAGCAAACA
rnacentral:rRNA from 1 species